AGGGAUCUCUUUCCUUCAAUUCUCGAGAGAGAGAGAGAAGGGAAGAGAAGAAAAAAAGAAACGGCCAAGACUAAGAGAGACGCGCUUUUGUCCUCAUGAGUUUAAAAAGUUCAUAUUGGCCUCCAAAUCUAGUAAGUAAUAUAAAUUAAUUUAAAUCAAAUAGAUCCCAGGAAGUAAAAAAGCGACGUCUAGAGUGGUGGGUGUGAGUUUGCAGCAGCAGCAGCAGCAGCA
rnacentral:misc_RNA from 1 species